UUCAGUCCAUUUUUUCAAGCAGUGAUCCAGCUCAUGGUUUCAAGUCAACCUUCUGAUCCUUGGAGAGAAUUAGGAUCUUGGGAUACUGUAACAUGGUACUUCUACCAACAAUAUGAUUCUAAACUUCCAGCUCGCAGGUUAGGUUGGCCAUUGCCAUUUGUUGCCGUAGUCCCAAAUUCUUGUCUCCAAAUGAAGAUAUGUCGUCAUUUUUCAGGUUGAUGACUGUAUAGGGCAGCUUGUAGCCCUAAUGUAGAGUUCUUUGUAACAAUCUUGUAGCUAAGAGCCUGACAACGGCAGUCUGUGGUCUCCCUUCAAAUUUGACGUGGUCGAAUGUGCAUAUUUGUUGUAUCAUGUAGAGUCUUUGUUUUCUUUUUCUAUAUGUAAGCAUGCUGUAUAGCCAUAAUUGAAUAAGAGUUUUCUUACAGUUUCUGAAUC